CCUACGGGUGGCAGCAGUGGGGAAUAUUGCACAAUGGGGGAAACCCUGAUGCAGCGACGCCGCGUGAGUGAAGAAGUAUUUCGGUAUGUAAAGCUCUAUCAGCAGGGAAGAAGAUGACGGUACCUGAAUAAGAAGCCCCGGCUAACUAAGUGCCAGCAGCCGCGGUAAUACGUAGGGGGCAAGCGUUAUCCGGAUUUAAUGGGUGUAAAGGGAGCGUAGACGGCAGUGCAAGUCUGGAGUGAAAGCCCAGGGCCCAACCCCGGAACUGCUUUGGAAACUGUGCGGCUAGAGUGCUGGAGGGGCAGGCGGAAUUCCUAGUGUAGCGGUGAAAUGCGUAGAUAUUAGGAGGAACACCAGUGGCGAAGGCGGCCUGCUGGACAGUAACUGACGUUGAGGCUCGAAAGCGUGGGGAGCAAACAGGAUUAGAUACCCUAGUAGUC
rnacentral:rRNA from 1 species